UACGGAGGGGGUUAGCGUUGUUCGGAAUGACUGGGCGUAAAGCGCGCGUAGGCGGGCUGGAAAGUUGGGGGUGAAAUCCCGGGGCUCAACCCCGGAAUGGCCUUCAAGACUCCCAGCCUAGAGUUCGAGAGAGGUGAGUGGAAUUCCGAGUGUAGAGGUGAAAUUCGUAGAUAUUCGGAGGAACACCAGUGGCGAAGGCGGCUCACUGGCUCGACACUGACGCUGAGGUGCGAAAGCGUGGGGAGCAAACAGG
rnacentral:rRNA from 1 species